AGCCAGAGAGGCAGGAGUUCUCUCAGCCGUGACACAAGAAGUAGUUCAGUGUCCUGGCUCAGAUCCCAAUCAUCUGCUCCUGACUGCCAGAACAAUCCUGCAGGCUUCCGGACCUCACUUCUGGCCCAUCCAUCUCCCCAAACCAGCCUGCUUUUAACCCAGGCAUGGGGUUCCUCCUUGAUAAAUGGUUUCCCCAGCAUUUGUUUUCUUACUCGGCGCUGUUUCUUGCUGCUAUUUUCCCGCUGCCUGUG